AGAUUGAACGCUGGCGGCAGGCCUAACACAUGCAAGUCGAGCGGCAGCACGGGUACUUGUACCUGGUGGCGAGCGGCGGACGGGUGAGUAAUGCCUAGGAAUCUGCCUGAUAGUGGGGGAUAACGCUUGGAAACGGACGCUAAUACCGCAUACGUCCUACGGGAGAAAGCAGGGGACCUUCGGGCCUUGCGCUAUCAGAUGAGCCUAGGUCGGAUUAGGCUAGUUGGUGGGGUAAUGGCGUCACCGAGGCGACGAUCCGUAACUGGUCUGAGAGGACGAUCAGUCACGACUGGAACUGACGACACGGUCCAGACUACCGUACGGGAGGUCAGCUAGGUGGGGUAAUUUUGGAACAGUGGGACGAAACGGCCUUAGACUCCGAGU
rnacentral:rRNA from 1 species